rnacentral:lncRNA from 12 species
UUUAAACAGAAAUAAAAGAAUAUUUACAUUUCUCUACUUAAUUAGGGACUGUAGUAUUAUUUUUCAAUCUGAAAGAGGAAAAUAUUUUCUUAAAUUUCAGAAUUAUUAGGUGGCAAGAAAGAGAACUGGGAGUGUAGUGGUGAUACAGGAAAGUCAUGAAAAUAAGAGGAAAUAAAGAGCACUGAUGGUGCAGAAAUAUGAAGUUUAACAAGCAAAGGCUUGGCAGAAGUGUGCUGGAGGAAAGGCUGGAGAUUUUGACUCCUUGUUGGCAGGAAGUAACCACACCAACUCACCAUUUUCAGGAAUUAGUGACCAGAACUAGUUUCUUAAUAUGUGUUUAGAAAAUCCCACUGAAACUACUCCAGGUUCAGUUCAUCUUAAAAUCACAUCAGUUUCUGGAAGCUUGGCUUCAGGCAGCAGUUUUUAACUCAUGCCUCACUUCCUUCUUGAUUCAUAAAAUACAAGUGUAUGUUCAGUAGUUACUUUGAUAUAAACUGUCACUGUGAGGCUUCAAAUUGCUUGAUAUUCUAAUCAAAUUCUUUAUUUCUGGUUUUGCUUCUUCUAAGUUGAUGGUACAGGCUAUAGGCAGCUCCAAAACACUUGUUUGGUUCGUGUUUGGAGGACUUGACUUGAACAUUUUCAUGUGAGAAAACUUCUGGUCUAUUUUUACAAAACAAUAUGCUGCCUAGCAAUUUGAUUCUGUAUCUAGAUAUAAAGCCACAAAGCUAUGGAAAGUGCAGACUCAUGAUUGACAAAAUAAUUGAAUUUCUCAUCUGUUAAGUUCAUGCUUUUUCUGGCCUCAAAGGACCACACAUUGUACCGCUCUUGGGCUUAGCUGUGCUCGUCCCUGUUCUAUUUCCCUGUUCUGUGCCAUGCUGUCUUAGAUGAGCUCAGUCCUGUCUGCUGGCUCCAGACAGGCACCACUCCUCAGAGGCACUGCAAGCUUUGUCAGAUCCAGUGACUAGUGCAAGGUACUUUAAGGAAAGUGCCAAAAAACAAGCAGCAGAAAACUGUGGGACACUCUUACUGAGGGAGUGGGGGUUUGGCUCCUGUCAGAUGUUGAUAUUAUGAAGCAUGAGAGAUUUUCUUACAACUGCUGUUCAUUUUUCAUGUUUCUUGUACGAUAUUUUUCUUAUCAUUAUAUGUAAAUGCCCUUGUAAAUAAAUAUUUU